CCCUUAGAUGGUCUGGGCGGCACGCGCGCUACAAUGAUGCAUUCAAAAAGUCUUCUGACCUUAGAAGGUUGGGUAUUCUCCAAAGUGCGUCGUGAUGGGAAUAGUUUAUUGCAAUUUUUAAUCUUGAACGAGGAAUUCCUAGUAAGUACAGGUCAUCAACUUGUGUUGAUUACGUCCCUGCCCUUUGUACACACCGCCCGUCGCUCCUACUGAUUGAGUGUCUCGGUGAAUUCUUUGAUCUUCUGUCGAUUCAGUUCACUGAUCCGACGGUGGAAAGUUGAAUGAACUUCGUCACUUAGAGGAAGGAGAAGUCGUAACA
rnacentral:rRNA from 1 species